rnacentral:rRNA from 1 species
AUGGCGGUCGAACGACCCGUCAUCGUCGUCCCUGGCCACCUGCAACCCUACCUUCUUGGCGUCCAUUUGACGGGCAUUCGGGCCCUGGUCCCCGAAGAUGGGCAGCAUGACGAGAGGGUGCCCGAACAGAAGCCCUUCGAUGAGCGAGUUCCGGCCGCAGUGCGUCAGGAACGCGCCCACGGCGGCGUGCGCCAGGAUGCUGAUCUGGGGCACCCAUCCCAUGGUCACCAGCCCUUGGCCGCGGGUGCGGUCCUGGAAACCGGGGGGAAGGGUGUGGUCGUUGUCGAGGACGGCGCCGGCGGGCUUGCGCAGAGCCCAGAGGAAGCGUGUCCCGGCGAGCUCCAGCCCCAGGGCCAGCUCGUGCACCUGUUCAACGCUCAGCGGCACCUCGCUCCCCAGCGCGAUGUACACGACGGAGUCGGGCGGCUGCUCUUCUAG